rnacentral:rRNA from 1 species
AUAUUUUGUUUAUAGUAGCUUUCCCGAAAAAAAAAAGAUCUGUGUUACUAUAAUAUUUUAGUAUUGUUAGAAUCUUUAAUGUGGCAUUAUUAAAUAAAAUAGUAACUCAGGUGUGAAAUACUUCUCAAUUUUUUUGAUAUCUGGAAUAUAUUGAAAUGAAUUUAGUUCAUAAAUGAAUCAAUAAGUUAUAAGAUUUAUUGAGUAUAGCUCUUAAUUAAUUCUAAAAAAAUGAGGAAUAUCUUCCUAUUUAUGAUAAGUAAAACAAUUAAUUUUUGCUUACACCUAUGAAUAAUAAAUAUAGGUUAUAUAAAAUAUUUUAUAUAGUUUAUAAUGUUAAAAUUAGUAAAUAGAUAUAAAUUUUAAAAAGGAACUCGGCAAAUAUAAGUUUCAACUAGUUUAUCAAAAACAUAGCUUAUAGUAAAAUAUUAUAAGUGCAAUCUGCCCAGUGAAGAUUUUUAACGGCCGCAGUACCUUGACUGUGCUAAGGUAGCAUAAUAAAUUGACUUUUAAUUGAAGUCGGGUAUGAAUGGAUCCAUGGAGCUAAACUGUCUCUUAAUGUAAAUCUAAUUUAAUUUACUUAAAAAGUGCAAAUUCUUUUAUAUUAGUAUGUAAGACGAGAAGACCCUAAGAAUUAGUAUUAAUAAUAAUCUAAUUAUAUAUAUGUUUGUUGGGGCAACAAAGUUGGGAAACCACCUAUAAUAAAAUAUUUAUCAUAGAUAUUAUAAUAAAUAAGUUUAAUUACCUUAGGGAUAACAGCAUAAUUAUAUUUAUAGAUUGUGACCUCGAUGUUGGACUAAGGACUAUAAUAAAUAGCCUUUAUUAUAGCUAGUUCUGUUCGAACUAUAAUACCUUA